GGGUCAGGCGGGACUACCCGCUGAGUU
rnacentral:rRNA from 1 species